rnacentral:rRNA from 1 species
UACGUAGGGUCCGAGCGUUGUCCGGAAUUAUUGGGCGUAAAGGGCUCGUAGGCGGUUCGUCACGUCGGGAGUGAAAACUCGGAGCUUAACUCCGAGCCUGCUUCCGAUACGGGCAGACUAGAGGUAUGCAGGGGAGAACGGAAUUCCUGGUGUAGCGGUGAAAUGCGCAGAUAUCAGGAGGAACACCGGUGGCGAAGGCGGUUCUCUGGGCAUUACCUGACGCUGAGGAGCGAAAGUGUGGGGAGCGAACAGG